rnacentral:rRNA from 1 species
AUUGAACGCUGGCGGCAGGCUUAACACAUGCAAGUCGAGCGGAGAUGAGGUGCUUGCACCUUAUCUUAGCGGCGGACGGGUGAGUAAUGCUUAGGAAUCUGCCUAUUAGUGGGGGACAACAUUCCGAAAGGAAUGCUAAUACCGCAUACGUCCUACGGGAGAAAGCAGGGGACCUUCGGGCCUUGCGCUAAUAGCUGAGCCUAAGUCGGAUUAGCUAGUUGGUGGGGUAAAGGCCUACCAAGGCGACGAUCUGUAGCGGGUCUGAGAGGAUGAUCCGCCACACUGGGACUGAGACACGGCCCAGACUCCUACGGGAGGCAGCAGUGGGGAAUAUUGGACAAUGGGCGGAAGCCUGAUCCAGCCAUGCCGCGUGUGUGAAGAAGGCCUUUUGGUUGUAAAGCACUUUAAGCGAGGAGGAGGCUACCUGGAUUAAUACUCUAGGAUAGUGGACGUUACUCGCAGAAUAGGCACCGGCUAACUCUGUGCCAGCAGCCGCCGUAACAC